rnacentral:rRNA from 1 species
CAGUCGCCGCGGGAAUACGUAGGUGGCAAGCGUUGUCCGGAAUUAUUGGGCGUAAAGGGCUCGCAGGCGGUUUCUUAAGUCUGAUGUGAAAGCCCCCGGCUCAACCGGGGAGGGUCAUUGGAAACUGGGAAACUUGAGUGCAGAAGAGGAGAGUGGAAUUCCACGUGUAGCGGUGAAAUGCGUAGAGAUGUGGAGGAACACCAGUGGCGAAGGCGACUCUCUGGUCUGUAACUGACGCUGAGGAGCGAAAGCGUGGGGAGCGAGCAGGAUUAGAUACCCCUGUAGUCCCUGUCUCUUAUAC